GACUGACAACCCCUUCAGCUUUAAAAAACCCAAGGAAAAUACCUUCAGCGCCAUAUAUGAUAUUAUUGUGAGUGGACAUUGAGGCAGAGUGGACUAGACCUUCAAUAAGACCUUCAAAUAGUCAGUGUGGAGAGAGAGGAUUUUCCAUUAACAAAGAAUUGACUGUGGAGAAUCAGGAGAGGAAGGUCUCUGGUGGCUCAGACGCUGUUUGUUGACCACGUCGGGUCUGUUGAGGGCAUGACCGAGAGCCUAAUUACAUAUCUACCGGCAGACAUUCAGAUGGAUUGAAUGCGGCUCUGAGCCAUAUGUGAUGUAACAAAAUUUGCUGUGCAGCCUCUGGUGCUGAAGCUAAUCCUAUCAAAUGAGACCACAGUCACCACGUCUAGACCGCAGGUCAUCUCUCAUCUAACAUAGAUCUGAAUUUUGACACCACACCUGGGAUGAAAAGGCAGAAGGAGUGCAAAGAAGUGAAAGGGGAUGGCAUAAUUCAGGAAUGACAGACAGUUCAGGGGCGCCUGGCGGCAGUUGCUCUCACCUGUGGUCUGUGCAGUUGGGUUAUGAAUCAGAAAGGCAUAUCUUUGAUGGCGAGCCCCCUGUGCUCACUCAUCACGGGUUGGACAGCUCUGUGCUCAUCUUGCUGUCUUGAAGGACGGUCUAUACUCUGAGUAUCUGACUACAGGAAAGCAGGGAGACAGCAUGGAAGGAGACUCAUCUCGCACUCAAAUAUCUCCGUGGGGAAUGGAAAGAUGGCAGAGAUGCAUGCCGAGGCCACUCCUUUUUUCUCUGGGCCACAGAAAGAGAAACAUUGGCACAGUUGACAGGGAAAAUGUGACAUUUUCUGCACCGUGAUACCUUACAUCUCCAAAUUGAUGCCUUGUCUGAAAUAGACAGAAGGAGGCGUAAUGAAUGUGCUUCGGUGACACAAAGACAUGCCACCAGGACAUUGUGGGAUCUCGGCUCUGGAGCAUUCUGACUGGUUCACUUUUUUAAAGCGCAGAGGGCCAGCUGUUUAUGUUAUUCACAUUUUAGUGGGGUUGGAGAAAAUGUGCGUCCAUCUACUGUAGCGGGGGGAUAAUAGUUUGGACGAAAGCAUCCAUUUCUAAAACCACUCUUUAUGCCAUUGUGGUCAAUCAGACAACAUUGAAAAGUAUUUUUUCAUGACACUGUUUGAAUUUCUCUUUAUUUACAGCUGAAACGUGGACAAAAGAUUAAAAUGACUGUCAUUUUCCUCAGUAGUCACGCUGUCAUCUCCACAUAUCAGCUGAAUCGUUGGUCCUUUAUGUGAAAUCUUUCACUGGUAGGAGACCAUGUAACUGUACGUGCGGCGUUCAAAUAGACUCAUGGGGAGGUCAUGGGAGUGCUGAGCUGACAAUCAAGGGACCAGCUGUCAUUCAUAGCGCCAUCACCAGCCGCGCCACGUCGAAUCCUCUGACGGCCGCACGACUACAAUGGCACAUUUCUGUUCUUCUUCUGACAGGAUUGCAAAAUUUGGCUCCCAUGUCUCACGUGACCUCUUUACAGCCAAUCAUGAUUGAUGUAGGUUAUGAUGACGGCCAUGUUUCACAACUUCAUCUGAAGGAACUUGUAGGAGAAUGCACAGACGCCCCGACGGUGUGAGCUGAGGACAAAAACAAGUGCCCCUGUCUCAGAGAGCGUCCGGCUGCAAGAAGAAGACGAAGGAGGAAAAAAAA